CUCGGGGACGGGCAGCGUCGGUCGGCGGGUGGAGAUGGUGCCUCUCUGAGCAAGAAUUACUAUCCCCAAAAUGCUCCUGACCUUUUACAGCACCGUCAUGGCCUCUUACUUGGGAGCCUGGUACCCAGCUUCCCUGUGUGUUUACUCUGUCUUUCAAGCCAACAGCUCCCAAAGGCAAGCUUCACUGGGGAAGAGCUGUUUGACAAAGGACACAGUGGUUGAUCCUGUUUCAGUACAGAUUUCUGUGAAACUAUCUGCAGCAGACAGAGAAAAAACAUGCACGACAAAAUCCCACGCGGAGAAUGCAAAGUCAACAGGUUCUUUUGCUCUUCCGAU